GUUGUAUAGUCAAGUAAUUAAGUGCAUGUGGUGGAUGCCUUGGCAGUCAGAGGCGAUGAAAGACGUGAUAGCCUGCGAAAAGCUCCGGGGAGGCGGCAAAUAUCCUUUGAUCCGGAGAUAUCUGAAUGGGGGAACCCACCUACUUUAAGGUAGGUAUUGCAACAUGAAUACAUAGUGUUGCAAGGCGAACGAGGGGAAGUGAAACAUCUCAGUACCCUUAGGAAAAGAAAUCAAUUGAGAUUCCCUCAGUAGCGGCGAGCGAACGGGGAUCAGCCCAUUAAGUUAUGUGUGUUUUAGUGGAACGCUCUGGGAAGUGCGAACGUAGAGGGUGAUAUUCCCGUACACGAAAGGGCACACAUAAUGAUGACGAGUAGGGCGAGGCACGUGAAACCUUGUCUGAAUAUGGGGGGACCAUCCUCCAAGGCUAAAUACUCCUGACUGACCGAUAGUGAACCAGUACCGUGAGGGAAAGGCGAAAAGAACCCCUGUGAGGGGAGUGAAAUAGAUCCUGAAACCGCAUGCAUACAAGCAGUGGGAGCACCUUCGUGGUGUGACUGCGUACCUUUUGUAUAAUGGGUCAGCGACUUAUAUUCAGUAGCGAGGUUAACCGUAUAGGGGAGCCGUAGAGAAAUCGAGUCUUAAUAGGGCGUUUAGUUGCUGGGUAUAGACCCGAAACCAGGCGAUCUAUCCAUGAGCAGGUUGAAGGUUGGGUAACACUAACUGGAGGACCGAACCCACUGUCGUUGAAAAGCCAGGGGAUGACUUGUGGAUAGGGGUGAAAGGCUAAUCAAGCCUGGUGAUAGCUGGUUCUCCCCGAAAGCUAUUUAGGUAGCGCCUCGGACGAAUACCAUAGGGGGUAGAGCACUGUUUCGGCUAGGGGGUCAUCCCGACUUACCAAACCGAUGCAAACUCCGAAUACCUAUGAGUACUAUCCGGGAGACAGACUGCGGGUGCUAACGUCCGUAGUCAAGAGGAAAACAAUCCAGACCGCCAGCUAAGGCCCCAAAAUCAUAGUUAAGUGGGAAACGAUGUGGGAAGGCAUAGACAGCUAGGAGGUUGGCUUAGAAGCAGCCACCCUUUAAAGAAAGCGUAAUAGCUCACUAGUCGAGUCGGCCUGCGCGGAAGAUGUAACGGGGCUAAAACUAUGUGCCGAAGCUGCGGAUGUAUACUUUGUAUACGUGGUAGGGGAGCGUUCUGUAAGCCGAUGAAGGUGUGUUGAGAAGCAUGCUGGAGGUAUCAGAAGUGCGAAUGCUGACGUGAGUAACGACAAAACGGGUGAAAAACCCGUUCGCCGAAAGACCAAGGGUUCCAGUCCAACGUUAAUCGGGGCUGGGUGAGUCGACCCCUAAGGCGAGGCCGAAAGGCGUAGUCGAUGGGAAAAUGGUUAAUAUUCCAUUACUUCUGUGUAAUGCGAUGAGAGGACGGAGAAGGCUAAAUCAGCCUGGCGUUGGUUGUCCAGGUGAAAGGAUGUAGGCAUGUAUCUUAGGCAAAUCCGGGGUACUCUAUGCUGAGAUCUGAUAGCAAGCUGUACUUGUACAGCGAAGUGGUUGAUGCCAUGCUUCCAGGAAAAGUCUCUAAGCUUCAGUUACACAGGAAUCGUACCCGAAACCGACACAGGUGGUCAGGUCGAGUAGACCAAGGCGCUUGAGAGAACUCUGCUGAAGGAACUAGGCAAAAUGGUACCGUAACUUCGGGAGAAGGUACGCUGUUGUUGGUGAUGGAACUCGCUUCCUGAGCUGACGACAGCCGCAGAAACCAGGCCGCUGCAACUGUUUAUUAAAAACAUAGCACUCUGCAAACACGAAAGUGGACGUAUAGGGUGUGAUGCCUGCCCGGUGCUGGAAGGUUAAUUGAUGGGGUUAGCGUAAGCGAAGCUCUUGAUCGAAGCCCCAGUAAACGGCGGCCGUAACUAUAACGGUCCUAAGGUAGCGAAAUUCCUUGUCGGGUAAGUUCCGACCUGCACGAAUGGCAUAAUGAUGGCGGCGCUGUCUCCAGCAGAGGCUCAGUGAAAUCGAAAUCGCUGUGAAGAUGCAGUGUACCCGCGGCUAGACGGAAAGACCCCGUGAACCUUUACUGCAGCUUGACACUGAACUUUGACCUUACUUGUGUAGGAUAGGUGGGAGGCUUUGAAGCUGGAACGCUAGUUCCAGUGGAGCCGUCCUUGAAAUACCACCCUGGUAAUGUUGAGGUUCUAACUCUGUCCCGUGAUCCGGGACGAGGACCGUGUCUGGUGGGUAGUUUGACUGGGGCGGUCUCCUCCUAAAGAGUAACGGAGGAGUACGAAGGUGCGCUCAGCGUGGUCGGAAAUCACGCGUAGAGUAUAAAGGCAAAAGCGCGCUUAACUGCGAGACCCACAAGUCGAGCAGGUACGAAAGUAGGUCUUAGUGAUCCGGUGGUUCUGUAUGGAAGGGCCAUCGCUCAACGGAUAAAAGGUACUCUGGGGAUAACAGGCUGAUACCGCCCAAGAGUUCAUAUCGACGGCGGUGUUUGGCACCUCGAUGUCGGCUCAUCUCAUCCUGGGGCUGAAGCAGGUCCCAAGGGUAUGGCUGUUCGCCAUUUAAAGAGGUACGCGAGCUGGGUUUAGAACGUCGUGAGACAGUUCGGUCCCUAUCUACCGUGGGCGCUGGAAAUUUGAGAGGAUCUGCUCCUAGUACGAGAGGACCAGAGUGGACGAACCUCUGGUGUACCGGUUGUGACGCCAGUCGCAUCGCCGGGUAGCUAUGUUCGGAAGGGAUAACCGCUGAAAGCAUCUAAGCGGGAAGCCUACCUCAAGAUAAGAUUUCCCUAGGACUUUAUGUCCUCUAAAGAGCCGUUCGAGACUAGGACGUUGAUAGGUUGGAUGUGGAAGCAUAGUGAUAUGUGAAGCUGACCAAUACUAAUUGCUCGUGAGGCUUGACUAUACAACACCCAAGCAGUUG
rnacentral:rRNA from 1 species